UUCGCUUCUCAGCCUUUUGGCUAAGAUCAAGUGUAAAAAUCUUGCCAAAAUCUGACAUAUAUUUAUGCUAGUUGUUUCUAUAUUAUCCAUGAGAUAAUCUUUAAAAUAGUUUUAUCAGUGAACAUCUUUUCUUUCACUGGAAGCAGGAACUUA
rnacentral:snRNA from 1 species